CUUGCUCUUUUUCAGAAUUGAGUGGCAAACGGGUGAGUAACACGUAAACAACCUGCCUUCAGGAUGGGGACAACAGACGGAAACGACUGCUAAUACCGCAUGAUACAUUUGGGUGGCAUCAUCUGAAUGUCAAAGAUUUAUUGCUGAAAGAUGGCCUCGCGUCUGAUUAGCUAGUUGGUGAGGUAACGGCCCACCAAGGCGACGAUCCAGUAGCCGGACUGAGAGGUUGAACGGCCACAUUGGGACUGAGUAUACGGCCCAAACUCC
rnacentral:rRNA from 1 species